AGGAAGUAUGUCAUGUUCAUCUCUGCAACUGGUGUGACAUUUGCUUUAUGCUCUGUUUGUACUGCAUACUAUUUCUGAGGUUUAAUUUAAUUUUCAAAUUAAGGCUGUCAGUGCUCAAAAAGACCUAUGAAGUCACUGAGUAAAAAAGACUGCUACAGGUCAGCAAAAUGCAGUUUUAGUGGUGGAGGUAUAAGGUGCCUAUAAAAGUCAUCCUAGAGCAUCACUAAAGGCCACUUAUUGUCAAUAAUCAAAAGCAUCUGACAGAAGGCAUCAGCACCUCCAUUACUGUAGGAUAUAUAGACUUAUGUUCUGUUUUCUAGGUUAUAUGAGCCAUCACAAUAAGUAAUGUAAGAUAGGCGAGUAAGCUCCUACCAGAGAGAGGUACAGGACGUUCCUCAAACUGAAUUAGGUCAGCAGACUCAAGAACCACUGGAUCAGGUCUCAGCUGGGGAGAUGGUAAGCAGGAAGGAACUGGCUCACACAAGAGGUCAACAGGAGAUGUAUUUGUGAGGCAAAGAAGUUCUUGCUCAGUUUGAUUAGGAGCAUUGCUAGGUGUUCCUAGACUUAAUUCCAUUGAUGAAGUUGAUCCUGGGGUCUCCAUAAUAUGUCCAUUAUGGUCAUCAAGUUGAUUUCCAUGAUCAUCCACAUGAUCAGCAAGGGGAAAACUAGGUGAGCUAAAACGAGUUUUCAUAUCAUUUUUCAGUACCACAAUUCUCUUAUGGCCAUGUCCUUUAAUCCAG
rnacentral:lncRNA from 1 species